GAAGGCAGUGAACCGUCAAAAUGCCAGUACACUGCCGCAAGUAUUUAUACACUACUUGUAAUUAAUAUCUAGUAAAUUCACUUGUUGUCACGAACAAAAAAGUUCGUAAACACGGCGUGUUUCCAGACUCAGCGAAGCCACCCCUCCUCGAGCUUUACAGUUUACAACAUCCCAACGGUUUGACAUUUUUUCCGCAGCGGUCCGACAAGCUGUAUAACCGCAACCGCACGCAUCGCUAUGAUCACUGUUCCACUUUUAAAUGGACAUGAAGAAUUCUUGACGUGGAAUUCAGAGCAGGUACACCACCAGUAGUUCCAGCUGUGACCAACACUUCCAGGCUCAACAGGCAAGCUACUGUGCAUUACAUGUCACCCAAAUGAGAGGCAGUGUUGGAGGAACCUGAUCCGGUGCUAAAACAUUCCAGGAAGAGCUACAAAUAAAAAUAAAUCAGCCUAUGUCCACGGACUCAGAGGUGGAGGGAUAUAGUGAUUGUAACAAUGUCAGCCAGGUGGAUCUCAAAGGAUAUGAGUUGUCUGAAUGAGGCUGUUAAUCUGGUCCUUAUCAGGGACCCCUGUCUGACAGAUAUAAACAGAACCAUCAGAGUUUCUGUCCGCUCUGAGAGCCGGCUCUGAGGAAGCUGGAUCAAUGUCAAUAACUUUCCACAUGUAAAUAAAGGGUGACUUGCCUCUGUCACCUGCCUCUGUGGAGUUAUUUCGGAAAGCACAGGAAAAAUACAAGCAGAAAAAUAUUAAAAUCAUAAUUUAAAAAGUAGAGUUGGGAAUCUUUGAUCUAAAAAUAGGGCUGUGCCUGAAUUGUUUUGCAAUGAUGGUGCAGGACAUGUGGCAGCUACCUAUGAAGCCUGUAGCAGAAUAGUGGCAAAUUGGUCUAUUGGCUUCAUUAGAAUGUAUUCAGUGAGCUGAAAGCACCAUUCACAGCAUCAAUGGCAGCUUUUUGGUGAUGGGAGGGAGUGAAUUUGGAUGAAGGGUAUCAAUAAGGGGCAGUGAUAACUGCAGGAGCUUCCGGUUUAAAUGUUUUCUGACUCCAAGUUAAGCUAAGUUUUUUUAAUGCUGACCCUUUUGGUGAUGGUUUCAAGUGGUUUAUUUAAUGAUUGCUGGAGAAGGUACAUGUGGACAAAGAGAAGUCAUAUUGGUUCACCAUUGCAGAGACUUCUCUGGCACAUAGAACAGGACUAGGGGCUUAACUAGGGGCUGACCCCUGUAUUAGUACAAAUGUGGAAAAUUACUUUUAAUGCAGCCAACCUUGAUUGUGCUGUGCUCAAGAUUGCAUGAGAACAUAAGUAGAUUGGUGAGUGUGCUACAUGGGCCAUUGAAUCCACUUCUCAUUCAAUAUGAAGAUCAGUUAAGAACAACCAGAUGAAAGCAGACUAACAUUGCCAAAUAAAAUUAUUUCAAUCAGAAUGUUAUAAAUCGUUAUAAGUCUAUGGGAAUGAUUUUCUCAUGUGUUUACAUGUUGUGUCAUUCUAAAUAAUUCUAAAAGCUCAGAUUUCAAUUUUUAGCAAGGUAUCUUACAGACAAGGAUCGGGUGUACAGUAAACGAUCUAGC